GUGUAAUAAACGUGGUAUUCGUCGACAGCUUUGCACCAUUUGUUAAAAACGUUGACUUACCAUCGUACAUAGGAUACCUUGGUAACCUGCGAAAUUCAUUACAUACCAAACAUUUUAAAUAAACCCAGUAUUCUAAGUAAUCGAUAAAAAUAUAAUUUUUUUUUCAUAUUAGAAGUAUAUUGCUAGCUGACUUGGCAUUUCCCUUGACUGGCUGCAUUCACUACGUCAUCACACAGUACCUAUGACCUUUGAAACACUGAAUAAUCGUAGCUCGCUGUUCGCGUGUAAUGUCUACGGACAUAAACUAUUUAAGUAUUUAUUCUAUACAGAAACUACGUACUAUUUAUAUAUCCGUGUCUAUUAUUUGCUAAUCUGGAAAAUAGCGGUACAAGACUUGUCUUACGACACCAGUUUAUCUUAUCCGAUUUAGUUAUAGAAAUACUUAUGUGGCGCACACACGCCCGCAUGACUAUUAUUAUGAAAGUGCAUCGAAGUGGAGAUGAUAGGACAGCGUUGUUCAGUUAGUUUUUGAUGCGCAUAAGGGCUGUGGUUACCUAUUGGUUCGAAUCGCACGCCAAACAAACUUUUAUCGUCAAAUUUCUCAUACGUAUUGCCAUCUGGAUAACUUAUCACGGUGGUCCGUGUUGGUGACCUCGUCAGCACUUUGCAUAUACGUCGCCAGACUUUUAUCCUGCCGGAAAAACAAAACUACGAAAAAUACAACCUAUGUGUACUUACAUCAAUCCGUAGCAGUAUUUUUUUCAACUUAAUAAUAUACGCAAUGGUUGCCGAGUGCCAAGAUGAACUGGACGAAUGUAUAUUUUCAAGGUAAAGCGUUCAGCUUUGAUCGUGUGCUUUAUUUACAUACGAUACACAAGACCGAAAAAUACUUUAAGACGAAGAAACUACGAGACAUAUUCUAAAGACGGCUUUAUCCGUUUCUUCCGCGUGUUUGUGAUAUUUUAUUAAUUUUUAAAAUUAUUAUUAUUAUUAUUUUUUUUUGCAUUGAAAAAUGAAUAUUAC